GACAGAGGUCCCGAGCGUUAGGCGGAAUCACUGGGCUUAAAGGGCGCGUAGGCGGGCUGUCAAGUCUGGGGUGAAAUGCCGCGGCUCAACCGUGGAACUGCCUCAGAUACUGACGGCCUCGAGGAAGGUAGGGGCAUGCGGAACUGUAGGUGGAGCGGUGAAAUGCGUUGAUAUCUACAGGAACUCCGGUGGCGAAAGCGGCGUGCUGGACCUUUUCUGACGCUGAGGUGCGAAAGCGUGGGGAGCAAACAGG
rnacentral:rRNA from 1 species